rnacentral:rRNA from 1 species
GAAAAAGAGGGCGGAAAUGCAAGACCAAAUGCUAUCAUGAGAUAUUUUUGUAAUUGUUUAGGAGAGUGUGGCCUCGAGGAUAUGGGUUGUAUUGGUGACCCUUUCACUUGGAGGAGAGGCGAUACUAGAGAGAGGCUUGACCGUGCGGUGUGCAAUGUGGAAUGGGUGAACAAAUUCCCUUGGGCUGCGUUAAUUAAUGAGGAACAUGUUCAUUCUGAUCAUCGUCCACUCAUACUGGAUACUGAAUAUUUUAAC